CUCUGUCACCCAGGGGCUCCCAAGGUCCUGGCUGCUUAGGGACACAUGUUCCCAGCAGUGAUUCCAGUGCCAUGGCUGGAGUGAGUUUUCUUUCCUAAUUAUGGGGAGCCACUAUCACUGAGUUAUUGCAGUCACCCAAGCCUGUCUCCUUUUUUCUGUCUGCUGCAGUCCCUCUUCAGAGCUGCCUGGGUUCAGGGAGAGUUUUGUUGUUCCUUGAGGCAGGAGGUGAGUGUGGGACAGAGGGAUGGAUGCUGCUUUUCACUCCCUGGAAAGAUGUGGCUGCCCAAGGCCAGGCAGGCGGGAAUGCUGAUGGCAAUAAGAUCUCUCCUCAUCCUUAGUGCAGCACCUUGGUGCACUUUCUGCCAGUGAGGAGUCACUUGGUGGAUUUAGGAAGAGGUGUCCUGGCUGGCUGAUAGCUCCAACAGAAGGAAGAAGAUGUUUCCUGUGCCAGUGGAGAACUUCUGUGAAUGGAUUUCCCUAACACCAAGCCAGCUAACAAACCCCAGGCUGUACAUGGCUAAAUAAACGUGGUUAAAGAUACCUCCAGGUUCCUGCAUUAAUGCUUUGUUUCCUUCCUCACAGUUUGGACUGUGACUUGGAAUGAGCUCUUGGUGUCCUGCGCUUGGUGCUGGCUGAACAUUUGGGGAAUGUCCAUCUUCUGCUGCUCACAUGGAAUCAGAGGGAGAAACAAGAAGGAUUUCUGGAGCAUGGACCAGGCUUAGGUAG